rnacentral:tmRNA from 2 species
GGGGGCGAAAUGGCUUCGACGGGGGUACAGAAGUUUCGGUUGCAUACCGAUUGCCCUGCCAAUCGUUAAAUGGUGGGAAAUAAAGAUAAUCGCAGACGAUUAUAACUACGCUUUAGCUGCUUAAUUGCAGCUGACGUUCUGUUGAGUCUCUUCUCGCGGACUCAAUAAGGGCGACGACUCAGCGGGAUAGCAACUCCUGAUUUGCCUGUGGCAGGAUGAGCGAAAUUCAGCAGGCUUGCCUGUUAAAGAAUCCGGCUCGAAGGAGUUUUUAACGGGCGAGAAUUAAAAUUCGGGAUAUGUAUGUAGACGCCCAAAUGGAAUACUUUCGGACGCGGGUUCGACUCCCGCCGCCUCCACCA